rnacentral:misc_RNA from 1 species
AACGCACAUUGCGCCCUCUGGUAUUCCGGAGGGCAUGCCUGUUCGAGCGUCAUUACAACCCUCAAGCUCUGCUUGGUAUUGGGCGUCACCAGUUCUGGUGUGCUCUAAAAUCAGUGGCGGUGCCAUCUGGCUCUAAGCGUAGUACAUCUCUCGCUAUGGGUGCCCGGUGGAUGCUUGCCAACAACCCCCAAUUUUUUAAGGUUGACCUCGGAUCAGGUAGGGAUACCCGCUGAACUUAA